rnacentral:tRNA from 1 species
GUCGCCAUAGUUCAAUGGAUAGAACAAGAUCCUCCUAAGAUUUAGAUACAGGUUCGAUUCCUGUUGGCGACACCA